GCGCUAAGCACGGCGCUUAGGAGCCGGCAUCGCUUCGCCAAAGUUCUCGGUCUGCGGCAGGUUCUGCCAACCGCCUUCAGUGUCUGCGUGCCGAGGAGGUGCGAAUGGCUGAAGGGAGACCGGGUGCGUCAUCUCUGCCCAGAGAUGAUGAGGGAAAGGCCUCGAGCACGGUGGGAGAUAAGGAAUAACUCAUUGUAAAAGGUCCUGCUUAAAUGCAGUGUGUGGCAUCCACACCUGUCCUGCAUAUGUGCACGUCUAUACAUUACCUUUACAUUCUUGCACACGUGUUCAGGUGGGUGAGCUGUAUCCACAAAGCCAAACCAGGUAACUGGAAACUCAGGCUGAAUCUUUACGGGCUUGAGGUCUCUGUAGGAAAUGGUGGCGCACUGAGCCGGCAGUGCUGACCCCAAGCAGGAUGGAGGCCGCCCCUACACCAGCUGUGACCAGUGUGAGAAUCCACCCAGCUCAGUCAUCAUCACGCUGGGGAAGGUCAGCUGGGUGCCCCUCAGUUGUCACGAAGCUGGUGUGGAGCUGCAGAACAGAGCACAACCAGGAGCCCAUCAACCUCCCAGAGCAGCAGCAAAGGCUCAGGGGAGAGCAGCAAAGACAACUGAGAACAUGGAGUGCCCCUGGUGCCCCAGUGACUGCACAGUCUGGGGUCUUUUAGGCUGCAGAGACUGUAGUAGAGAAAAGUAGGGAUGCGUUGCUUGCUUUUCUAGCGUAAGAACUAGAGAGCAUCAAACGAAACUAGCAGGUGUCGGGUUAAAAGCAGUCGGGAGGAGGAGGCUCUAUGCACAGCAGUUAAUUGAACAGUAGUAUUUCCUGCUUUAAAGUUCCAAGAGGUCACAGGGCAUCAAAAAGCACCCGAGCACGCUCGCAGAAGGAAAAAGCACGAGGUGCUGUUAAGCGUGAAGACUGCAUCAAACUACCCCCUAAGCAAGUGAUUUCUAGAGGCUGGAAGCUGCUUUGAGGCUGCAACAGUAUCCAUAGACCUCUGCAUCUCCAUCUCAGUGGGAUGUGUUUUCUUAAUGGGUUUUGCUUCGAGCACUUUGCUGUGUGGCACAAAGGGCCCAGCCGUGAAUGCCUGCAGCCUGCCCAGCACUGCUCAGCCUGCAGAGGGAAAGGUUGGCCUGGCUGGUUCUGCAGUGCUCUGUGGCUAUUGGCAUUUCCAGUGUACGCUCUUAAUUUGUUUGCAGGAUGAGUGAGCUAUGAAAGUCCGUAGUUGAUGCCUCAGCAGAUGCCGUGGGAAGAAUGCUUACAGUCUCACUAAUAAUUUAAUCUCACAUUCAGAGGACACUUUAUUCACCAAGUGGGCAGCCUGUGAAUGACACAGUUGCCUUCCUGGAGGAACAACAACCAGCAGAAUUUCCAGCUCUCUCUUUCCACUUCUUCCCGCUGCCUUCCUCUGAUCUCCACAGGGCUCAUGCAAAGGCAUUAACAAAGACAUUCCUCUCCAUGUCUUCUGCAAUGAGAUGUUCCCGGGAUGUACUAGAAGUUAAAUCUGCUGUGGUACUUUCACAAUGCUGGAAGGUAAUGGGAAUGCUUUUUGAUACAGAGCUUCCAACGAUGACUUCACUCCACCCAAAGGAAGAGUUCUGGCUUUCCUAACUGCUGUUUCAGUAAGACCUGGCAACGUUCAAAUCAGAGCAUUUAACCACAGAGCGUCUGAUAUUCAGAGCAUUUUCUCUCCAGAAUUGCCAAAGUUUGCAGUUUGCGCUAUUCAUCAUCUUCCACAGGGACUCAGUUGAUUCCAUUAGCACCCUGCUUGCUGCACGCAGAAGAUUAACUGUGCUGGCCUGGCCUUGAUUUCUACAAGAAGAAAAGAAUAUAUCCUUCAAAAUGGGAAUCCAUGAAGUUGCAGAGGGUAAAGAAACCAUCCAGCUUAUUUUUGCAGUUUAAUAAUAUUCAGGGAACUGCUCAGCACUGCACACCAGCAGCACCCCAACACUAUCUGCAGCACGUAGAGUGCUUUCUUAAGGCAUUUCAAUGUAAACUCAUCCGUGUGACACCUCUGCUCUCAGCAAGGUGCUUCUGGCCAGGAGCUCUGCCCAUGAGAGCAUGAAGAGGGUGUCUUCAUUACAGAGUGCUCCUCAGCUCUCGUGUUAUUUCAGCUGCGCCAAUCUGAUUGCUGAGAAUGUGGAUGGUAGGAGAGCUGCUCUGUUGUUGUUGGUAAUAAUGACAUAAAACCAUUCCAGGAUGGAAAAAAAACACAAAAAAAAAAUCCUGUUGCUAUUUUAGUGUUGUGAAAGGAUGUUUCGGGGUGACUUCACAACAGGAAUGUCUGAAUUAGCUGAAGAAAGUGCUCUGAGCAAGAUAUUUUUAAGCGACACUGUAAACACAGUCCUCUGCGGCCAGCACUGAGUGCACUUUGCAAAACGUGCCAGCAAAAAUGAGCCAACAAAGAAAAAAGACUGAUGUGAGAAUGAAGCUUUUCUUUCGCAACACAAAGCCUCUCACACGUUACGUAAAGAUGAGUAAGUGCUGUAUAAGGAGUGCUGCCUGUGUUGGAGCUGCCCAGGCUGACCUCCAGAGCUUCAGGACAGCUUCUGCACACUCGGCUUUCCGUUCUUCUCAAGCACAAAUGGAUCCACCUUCUGCUUGUGCUGAAAUAGCUGAAGCCAAGUUCAUCUACCACACCUCUGCUGCCAGCCUGCAGAGCCCAGUAAGUUCAUCUUCUGAACAGCAGCAUCUGGCUCUGUGAGCUGUUUCUGGAGUGCAGCUCGGCAGUGACUCAUCUCUCCUGGAGCCCAUCUCACUGCAUUUCUCCCCCAACCAGUCAUUUCUGUCGCUCUGACCGUUGCCCCGCUCUCAGGUUUGCUCAGCCAGCACAGCCCAGUUGAGGCUGUCGAGGCGGGAUGCCAGGGCUGGGCAGAUAACCAGCAGCGGCAGCACCGACUUGCAGCCCUCUGUUCCCAGAACUGGCUGCACGCUGGGGUCCUGCCAGGGUGGGCUCAUGGGGAAGCAUUGCAGCAAAGCAGAGGGAGGUGCUGAAUCCUCGUGUGUCAGCCCCCAGCGGGGUGCUCUGUAUCUGCAACAGAAAGAGGUCAAGGCAGGGGAUGGAGGGAGGGAAAAGAAAAAGUAUUGGCUAUUAAUAGCAAAUAUGAGUAGCAGCUUUAUUUUGAAUGCCUUAUUUAAUCAGUGAUGUGCAGAAGGCUCACGAUGCACUUUACCUGCUGACUUGCCACGUACAGAUCAAAGAGGGACCGACAGAUUAAACAAACUUUGCAAAGCAGGGGAGUUUUAAAUAGGCUGAACAUCCAGACUCAAAACAACAUGGGGAUAUUGCUCAGACAGCCUCAGCGCCAGCCUGGGCUCAGGGAAUUCAGCCCCCUCCCCUUCCCAGCUGCCGGCAUUGGGUUUCCUCACCGCUCUCAGGUUUGCCUUUGUGUUUUCUGUACCUGCAAGAAGUAAACAGCAACAACCAGAAGCUCAUCCAGGGCUAUGAGGCAGCACAGCAGGUGGGCUCACUUCCUUGGCUCUGGAGGUCACAGCUGGGCCCAGGAGACCAGCUAAACACUGCUAGCCCAUUAAGUCAGGGGGAGGAUUCCCAAAUAAAUAACUAAAGCUCAGAUUCUUGUGGUAAUUAUUUGCAUAUUUGCACCUUGCUUUAAAGCAUUCCAUGCAGGGCAGCAAAUCCUCCUUUUAACCAAAGGAGCACUCCUCAGGUAUGCACGCUAUUGAGCUGCUAAGCAGCAGCAGCUGCCCCAAGGGAAGGUUGAGCAGACAGAGAGCUGCAGCAAAGGCAGGCGGCUGCCAGGUGGAGGCAGAGCUCCUCCUCUCCCAUGGAGGUAGGUAUAAGGGAGUGCUGAGUCACCUACUCCCUGCAGAAAGGAGCUGGAGAAAUGUAAUUUCCUUGCUUUUCUUUGCUCCUGCACCAUCACUUCACUUUUGGAGUGAGUUUGGCUGUCGGGUCAGGAGUUUUCUUUCUUGGAAAGCAUUGUAGUCUUGUACCUUGGGCUAAUAUGUAACAGCCUGAUAAGCUGGUAAUGGUAAUAGUUCUCAAUCAGCUUCAAAGCAGGAGUAAUCUGUCAUUCCUUGGCAAGAAAACCUUUAGAGCACAUAAAAUAGCUGUAAAUACUUUGUGGAAUUCUGUCAAAUAACAUUGACACAAAGCCGUUAGCUCUGUGGGUGAGGUUCCUGUGGGCUUCCCUCUCUCCAUUCAGGUAUUUGGUGUGUCUGUGAUGCUCUGCCCCAUCUCUCCCUGCCUGCAUUGCUCUGUGGGCGCAGCCUGGUGGCCCAGCAGAUCUGCCAGCACCCGGCACCCUCAGGAAUCCAGGGCUGCUCAAAGCCGUGCCAUGUUUAGCUCCAUUGCUUUCAGUGUCACAUCAGCACCUCUCCAAGCUGCUCCAAAAGCAUGUCCUUAAUGCUCCAAAAGUGGCCUGUAAAUGGAAGGCUCCCUUAGCUGUGUUGGCACGGGCCUGCAGCCAGUGCUUUACAUGGCAGCCAAACAAAUGGUCGUCCAGCUUAUUAAGGAGGGAAGUGGUGAGCUCCACCACAGCCACGCUAUCUCUCAAGUGACGGUGAUGAAGACGCAGUUGAAGUCCAGAGGAAAGCCAAGGAGUGAACUAAACGCGUGGCUCUCCGCACUUUGUACAUGUAAGCUCAGUGCUGGAUACCCAAAGUGGAUGGUUCACUGGGACUGUUACCAGCCUGUGUUCCCAAAGCAGGGAGGCCCCAUCUCUGCCCUCAGCAGCUCCAUGCCCAUUUCCAGCCCUGUGGGCAGGAGCAGGCAGAGCCUCAGGCAGGCUGUGCUCAGGGCUCACCCCUCACCAUGCGUGGCACAAAAGGAACAUAAACAGGAAGCAUGAAGCCACAGGAAGUUCGACUACAGAAGUUUCAGUGUUCAUAGAAGCAUUAUUUUUAAUACUUCUAUCGCUGUGCCUCGUGUCAGGAAAGAGCAUUUGAUUUCUCCCUCUGCUAAGAACUUGGGGAGGUAAAAUGUUCCCUCCAGGUUAUGCACUGUUCCCCAGCCUGAUUCUCACUAUGUUACAGCGUGGUGGCACCGAUCUGUGGCUGCUCACACCCUUAUGCUGGGGGUGCUGGGAUUAGACGAUCAGUUUCUCCCACAUUCUCCAUCUAUCUGCUUUCUAAUUUCUCCUUCUCUGGGCACACCUCACCUCCAGGAUUUCCUCAUCCAAACACAAACUCAGCUCCAUCCCCUGCCCCAAUGACAGAUGGACCACUGCCUGCUCCAGACACAGUUCUCCCAUCACACUAAAAGCCAGACGGUCUCCCCGCUGAUUCCUCUUAGUAGCAAAAUCUUCACGUAGAUAAAAUACUAUUUCUGACUUCCAUUGCCCAGCUCCUGCGCUUCCCUCCCUGCUCGUUUGCCCUCCCUUUCCCCCCAUCUCCAUCACGCACCACCAGCUGAACACAGAUCAGCACCAGUGGUUUACCUGGAGGUUUUUAGCACUGUUAUCUAUCAGGGCAUUCCCCUGGUCUGAUGGUUUUGCUUUCUGAACACUCGCAGUGACCACCCUCCCUCCUCAUUAAUUCUCUGCUCCCCAGCCCCUUCCCCCCAUCCCACACCCCUCUUUUGUAAGCCACACGACUUCCUCCUUCCCCCUCCCUGGGAACAUUUUCGGAGCAUUUUUCAGCCACUUCCCUUUUUCAGGCUCAACACGCAGCCACAGACAAAUGAGCACACAGCAUCCUGGGCACACACGGGAGUAACCCCUGCCUCCAACCGCCUGCCUGCCGCAGCACAUUUUAAUCUCAUCAACAACUGCACCAACUAUUUAUAAUCAGCUCUCUGAUUACAUUCCUAAGGUCAACGUCCAGCUCAAAAGACUUGGACUGGCCCGAGCUCUGCUGCAGUUUCUCCCCUCCACAGGAGUUUGCAGAACGUGCUCAUUCCUAUGUGCCACCUCCCUCCUGCUGGCCUGCUCACCAAUGUGUUUUCAUGAUGUCAAAGGCAGUUCAAAGCCCUGUGCUGGCAUGCUGAGCAAUGAAGCCCAUGCUGUUGUCUGCACACCAUGAACCCCAGCAGGACCCCAAGCCGACUGCUGACAGAGCAAGGUGCUAUCUCCUUUUAGCCAGCCUUGUUGCAUGGUGCCAUGCAGAAGGGGUGCGGACUGCAGGAAGCUGCUUUCAGCUGAAUGGGAUAAAAGGGAAGGCAAAACAUCAUCGCUUUAGCACCGGAAACUGAAAGGGAGAGAAAGAGGAAAUGCCCGUGUCUGUUACAAGGGAUCCUACAGAAAGAAAUUUCUCUGUAAGGUAGCUGUCAGUGUUUAGUCUUACUUAUGUUCUUGCACAGAGUGGUGCUGGUUGUUUCCACUGCUCUCCUUAAAGGUGUUAUGGUUAAUUAAGUAGAUCCUGUACAUCCCUAAUGACCAUGAAAUGCAAUGGGAGUAUCCUUCAUACACAGGUCCACCCUCACAUCAGGUCCUCUCAGAGCACUCAGCUAACAUCACUGCUUUGUGCACAAGAGAAAACCAACAAUUUCAGCCUCCUUUAGAGGGAAGGAGGCAACUCAGAAUGGGAUGGCCCACUUCUAUAUACAAAUUGAGUCCAGAAGAACUAUUUAUAUAAUCUAGGUUGGUCUUCUCACACCACAUGCUGCUGAAUUUCACUGGCUGAGUCUAUAUGAAGCUCACCAUGUUCUGCAGACAGCAGCAUCUCAGCCUCACAGCAGACAGGUCCCAGUGAGUCCUCCCAGCUUUGCUGCAGCAGCGGUGACCUACUGAGCUCAAUUCCAAGCAUUGCCUGCAAUCGCUGAACAAAAUGCUUUGGAAAACGAAUACUGUGCAUCUUUCUUCUGAGGCAAUUACGUGACCAACUUCAUGACAGAACACAGUGGUCUCUAGCAAGAAAGCAGAUAUGAUUUGAUGGGAAAAGUUAGGCCUCACUACAAAAUUAGGUUUUUAAGACUUGUGACUUACAAAGCCACCAAGAGCUGUGUAAGAGUUGCUUCAUUCAGGGCUGUUUCGGUUUUGUUUUUGAGUUGUUUGUUAACGGGAGUUUGGGAGA